ACAGUUCCGUGCGGGGCCAGCUGGCGGCGGCGCUUCCGGGCCCCCGUGGCCGCCACGGCCUGGCCGGUACGGGGUCCGCCGGCCCAGAACGCCUGGGAUGACAAUACUUGAGGAAUCCUCGCUGGUGCUGCCCUCCUGCCCUCUGCUUGGAACCCCUCCCCUAAGUGUCAGUGAGUGGACGUAUAUAUUUGGAUCAAUCGAGUUGCACCCUUUGCCUCCCAGAUCAGUUCCUCCGGCCUCCCUGGCUGAGCAGAAGGACAGCUCUGGACACUUGUGUCAGCACCCAGCCCACGUGUCCCUGCCACAGCUUCAUAUAAGAGAUCUUGCUGUUGCCCAGGCUGGAGUGCAAUGGCU